GUCACAUUCUAUUGUACUCUAGUUAUACUCCCAGAGCAAUUUACUGGCAGGAAAGGCCAGAGUUAUUUUAGCAGCAGCAGUAACAGUGAGUGAAACAUCAGUUUGUGUGUGUGUCUGUUAACAUGUUAGUAGAGCAUUAGCUGUAGCAUACAGUGAGUGAUGGCUCUACUCUAUGUCAGUGCAUAGCAUUUCUUUCUACACAGCAAAGCCAUCACCAGAGACUUAGCAGGUCAUAUCGGAAACCUUUUGGAAGGGCAUCUCAUUUGUAACAACAAUGCAAUUGUAUAUAAUAAUAUAUCCUUACACUCUGUGCCCAGCCUAUUUCUAUUUCUGGUUACUUUACCAACUAGUACUGCAUGGAUGUUAAUUGUAGUGCAUUUGUACCUUUCCCAGAAGAUGUAAGUGUGCUGGGAGCUUCCUUAAUUUUGGCAAGUAGGACGUCCUUGUCAGCUUUCAGGUCCUUGAUGGCCUCCUCCAGGUAAUUAAUGCGCUCCUCAAGGUGUUCUAUCUUCUGUCGGUCCAUCUUGGUUUGUUCCUUCAGUUUGGCCAACUCCAAUGCACCUGUUGGAGACACUGCAACAGAGGAAGUACUUUAAGUGUAUUAUUGAGGUCAGUCAAUGGUGGUGGUUUACUGUUGUGCAAUAUAUUGAUAUGUGUCAUAUGUUAAUCUAUUCUAUCUAUCUAUCUAUUCAUUAACAUACAUACAUUCAUUGCACUGCAGUACACCAACAAAAUUCCCAGUACUUUUGUGCAUAUUGUUUAUUGAGAAGAUAGGCAAAAAAACAUGUAUGUAAAUAUGUAUAAAUAAAAAGUACAUUUCUAGCCCUUGUUGUGUUCAAAAAUGAAGAAACACCGGACGGACCAUCCCUAGUGCCCGUCUGUAGCCUCCACCAGCGAACUCGAGAACAAUGGUUGCUACAGGUAUUUAUAACAAUGCUUAAAGGUGUGAAAGUCAGUGUCCACACCUCUGGGAGUCUUCUGGUGAGUUCAAUGUAACUCGGAUUUCGAAUGAUCCUUAGUCAAUAUCAGUGGUUGUCCAAGUAUUACAUGCAUGCAUUCCAGUUGAUCACAUUACAUCAAAUACAAUCAUAACUGCAUUGAUAUUAUUCUAUUACAGUUGCAGAUUUACAGUGGUUUUACAAUAUUGUCAUUACUUUAUGGAUUACACAGUUUCAGAAUCAUGGCUGUAUUCUGGUGUACACUAUAUGCAUUUUAUUAAUUUUAUGAACCGGGUCGUAUAUUUCUUUCUAAUAUCCUACACCCUACUGGUGAAAGUAGUAAAAAAAACAUAAAUAGACUAGACUUACUGGUUUUCCUUGGGGAAUAUUUGAUUAGCUUUUUUUUCUUUGGAUGAAUAGGGACCUCUUCACAUUCUUGUGCCAGGUCCUCUUCCACAGCGUGUAGCAGCUUGGGGUUAGCUUCAUUAUCCUCAGCCUUCCUGCCACGUUUGCUGAAACGGGUGUCCAUCUGGCUACAGUUGUGUGCAGUUCCCCAGUAGACACACGUGGGGGCGCUGUUCUGUCUUGUUGAUGGAGCAUUGAGCGACGAGAAGAAGACUGACAUACCGACUUAAAAAAAAGGCGCGGGCGCGGAUCAGAGACGGGUGACUAGUUGUUGAUGCAAUGACACUGAUGGAAGAACUUUUAAAACAUAUUAGACGUUCAAAUACACACAAGAGCAGAAGGAAAAUUGUGAAAUGGACGCAGAAACGUGGUAUCCUGACGACGACGAUGAAAUGCGCAAAAUGCAACCGUCUCAUGCGUCUGGUGAAAUGCCAUGUCAAGGAUGGGCUGUGGUGGGUCUGUAAGCAUCAUAAAAGUUUCCUAAAGUCUGUACGUAAUGGCUCAAUAUUCACCAAGUCUCACAUCCCUCUGACAAAAUGGCUUGAGUUCAUGCACAGAUUUGCCCAAGGUUUGCAAUUGAAGCAACUUGCCAUGAUCAGUGACAGGAUAGCAGCAAGCUCCAGGACAUUGACAAGAAUGGCAAAAGUACUCCGAAAGGUGUGCAUUGCUGCUGUGAAGCGACUGAGGAAAAGAUGUAUGAGGUUUGGUGGUCGUCAUCGAUUCGUUGUUAUUGACGAGAGCAAAUUUGCCCACAAACGAAAGUACCAUCGUGGUCGAUGUGGCAACACUUGGCGCCGUGAACGGCGGUGGGUCUUUGGGAUGUUGGAGGUUGAUAGGAAGUCCAGAAGACCCAUUCUGAGACUCGUCAGGGAUCGCAGAAGGAAGACACUUAUAGGUCAUAUUACACGCCAUGUCAGACCCAGAACAUCCAUCCUCAGUGAUGAAUGGCGUGCCUACAAAGGGCAACUUGCCCAGUAUGGGUAUGAUCAUUAUUCGGUCUGCCAUAAAAACAACUUUGUGGACCGAGAGACUGGUACUCAUACUCAUAUAUACGCAUAUUGAGCGUGCAUGGCAAAGCUACAAGCUGGAAGUAUGGCGUCACAGAGGGAAUCGUACUCCUGAAUCACUCAAGCUUCAUCUUAAGAUGAUAGAGUGGCACCACUGGUUGGGUGUACACCAUUAAAAUGGUGUGUUGGGAAGACUUAUGCAUCUAUGUUGUGGCGUUAAACUCAUUAUAUGUUCUCCUGAGCAGAUCCUUGCUUGUGUUUUACAAACUGUCACUGGAUGAACAUCACAACAAAAUGUUUUGUUUUGAAAUACAUAAAGGAAAAACUAUCUCUUGACUUGUCUGUUGCUUUUGUUAAGGUAUUAUUAUCAUCUGACAGUGUAAUAACACUUAAUAAUAUUUUAAUGAAACAUUCAAAUCGUUCCACUUUACUUGAAUUCAAAGAAAACAGUCAUGACACUUAUAAACUGC
ensembl:lncRNA